AAUUAAAAGUCCAAUAAACAUGUCCAAUUUACAACAGGCCCAAAUAGCCACUAAACCCAAACACACUAGGCCCAUUAAAAUUUGAACCCAAUUUGCCUAGACCCUAGCCCAAUCACGAAAUAGCCCAAUCCAAAUUUCCUAAUACCUAACCUAGUCAGCCCAAUACACCACCUAAUUACAUACCAGAAAUUAAAUAACCAAACCCAAAAUGCAUUACCCAAGCCCAAACCCGAAUGCAUCAAGCCCAAACGGCCCAGGUUUUCUACAGUUUCAGAAGCCCUAAAGGUUUCUAGAACUUUCAGCGCCGUAGCCACGCCUCCGAGCCGAGCCAUGCCACACACCUCCGUACACACCAACUGGCCCUCCUGCACACCGUACCUGCAAAGGACAAACAAAUGAACAAAGUAGAAGAGGCAGAGGAAAAGGGGUAGAAAUCGACAGUUAAUCAAGAGGCAGGGGAUCCGGCUAUAUAAAGCCGUUUUUGAAUAUGUAAAAGGGGGUUCUUUUUCCUCUACGCACAAUAUCAAUACAAAAAAGGAUCAAAAUUUUUUUUGAGUUUUUUUUAAAGUGAUUUACCAUUUUCGGUUACUUUUUUUCAUUUUUCUUCUUUCUGCGUUUCUCUAUUAUUUUUCUUUGCUGCUUUCUAUUUUCUAUACAAAAAAAGAGGAAAGAAAAGGGGUUACCUUCGUGUUUCGCCGCAAAAUCCUUGUUUGCUUCGCCGAGAU
rnacentral:lncRNA from 1 species